UGAAAUGCGGCACUAGAGGUUGGUGUGU
rnacentral:piRNA from 1 species